rnacentral:rRNA from 1 species
CCCUUGGAAACGAGGGCUAAUACCGGAUAAUCUUAGAACUUGGCAUCAAGAUUUAAGGAAAGGUGGCCUCUGAAAAUGCUACCGAUUAUGGAUGGACCCGCGUCUGAUUAGCUAGUUGGUGGGGUAAAGGCCUACCAAGGCGACGAUCAGUAGCCGGCCUGAGAGGGUGAACGGCCACACUGGGACUGAGACACGGCCCAGACUCCUACGGGAGGCAGCAGUGGGGAAUCUUCCGCAAUGGACGAAAGUCUGACGGAGCAACGCCGCGUGUAUGAUGAAGGUCUUCGGAUUGUAAAGUACUGUCUUUGGGGAAGAAUGACUGGCUUGAGAAUAUUGAGUCAGUAUGACGGUACCCAAGGAGGAAGCCCCGGCUAACUACGUGCCAGCAGCCGCGGUAAUACGUAGGGGGCAAGCGUUGUCCGGAAUUAUUGGGCGUAAAGGGCGCGUAGGCGGAUGCUUAAGUCCGGUGUGAAAGAUCAGGGCUCAACCCUGAGAGUGCAUCGGAAACUGGGUAUCUUGAGGACAGGAGAGGAAAGUGGAAUUCCACGUGUAGCGGUGAAAUGCGUAGAUAUGUGGAGGAACACCAGUGGCGAAGGCGACUUUCUGGACUGUAACUGACGCUGAGGCGCGAAAGCGU